AAGCAAGCGGGGCCUCCCCCCCUCCCGACGGUGAGGGGAGGGGCGGGGCGGGGCGCGGCGGCGUGUGGGCCCGAGUGGCGAGCGCGCUCCCCGCCGGCCGCUCGCCCCGCUGGCGGGAGAGUGAACUUUGACACGACUGCUGCAACUUAGCGCACGUUGCCAUGGCGACCACGCGCCUUAUAAGGCAACCCGACCGGCGCUUGACUGGUCAAAAGCUCGCGCCCCGCCCCUCGGCCCUCAUUGGGCCGCCAGGCGCCCUUGCGCGGCCUGCCAUGGCCGCCGCCGCCGCCCGCGCGGUCCUAGAGGCAGGCGCCGCCCCGCCGCCGCUGCUGCCACCACCACGGGGGCCGGGGCGUCCCCCCCGCGCACGCCGCUCCUGCUCCUCUCGCUCUUACUCCUCGCCCCGGUUUCCCCGUGUCGUGCCCUCGCCGCCGUCGGUGCGAGGGGUUAAGGCGAGCCCGGCGAGGCGAGCGGAGCUCCACCGCCUCACCUGGGGCCGCCCGCCGAGGCACGGCAUCGGGGUCGGGAGGGGGACUUGGGGACGGCGGGUGAGAAUCAGAAUAUUGACUCUAAAAUGAGGCAAAAUUCCACCGAAUAAAAUAAAAGUGAGACCCGCUUCCGCCUGGGGAGGGGAAGCGGCCGCCCGUCAUGGGCAGCGCUGCACAGGUACGCGGGCUCCCGCCCGCCGGAGGUCCCGCCGGGCACUGUCUCGGCCGGCGUCGCUCUCGGUCCCUGCGGCCUCGCUCCGGGCUGACGGGCGGGGGAACGGGCCGGCGGUGGCGGCACCUGCGCUCUCCCCGGCCGCUCGCGGGACCGCGGGGCGCUGAGCGUCCCCCUGCCGCAGCGCUCCGGGUCCAGCCGCCCGCACAGUCCCGUUCCCGGCGGAGUAACGGGGCACCGCCGCUGUUCCGGACCGCUCCUCCCCGUACGGGCGCCUCUUCUCCCGCCACCCCGGGCAGCCGGCGGGCUGGGCGACAGGACCGUGUUUCCACGCAAGACACCAUCUACUCCUUUCCCUUAGCGCGACGGGGGAAAAAGAACACCCGCAACGCCGCUCCGCAGAGUGUGACACUCGUGUCUUUUCCCUCGCAACCUCCACAGCAUCGCUAUAACGCAGCUCAUCUCAACCCCUUAAACUUUAUUUAGGGGUUUGUGCUUUUGUAUUUUUUUUUUUUUUUAGAUCACACGUACCCUGACACAGUAACACAACCUCUGUGCUAUAGUAGGAACACCACUAAAUAGGUAACCGAUCUGAGUACACGGGGACAGUUGUUUAUUUCCUGCUGAAUAUAGCGACCGGACAGCGGAACGGGGACUUUGAGUUCAUCUCCUAGUGCAAAUGGCCAAAAGACACUCGAACAGGCGAAAGGACGGAGAGAUAAAAAAAAGAAAACAUGUUAAAAUAGGCAGAUAAAUGCCCGGCCGGACAAUCCUUCCUCUGCAAACAUACACGUCUAUGUACGCUCACAUUUGAGCUAGUCACCAAGCACGGACGUGGGGACACAGACCUGUGCCCAACUCUUUACAGGAUUAAUUGCCUCUCACCUCCUCACACACACUUUUUCAUGUUGCCACAUGCACACCCCCUUCUGCCGCAGAAAUAAUAUAUGUGGCUCAAGCCGCAGGUGCUGAGAUGAUUGGAAAGUUGUAAAAAGCACCCAGACUUGACAAUGUCCUGCUUAGAAACCUGGUGUAUUAAGACCCCACGAACGAAGAUGUAACUGCGGCUCAAUUUCAAAGGCAAGGGUGCAGCGUUCCCAUUGAUCCUGACAGAGCAAAAAUAGUCUUUCUCCGAAACAGGGACCACAAGGGACUGAAAAGAUGGAAGGGGGGUGGUGGUGGUGGAAGAAUCUUUCCCCGCUAAAAUGUGGGGAACUGCUUUAUGAUUUCCAAACAACCCAGAGUCGAGGACGUCACCUUUCAGGGAGGGUGGGAGAAGGUGGGGGUUCAAAAUGCAGAAUAGUCACAUAUUGUUGCUGAUGUUGAAUUUCCUGAGGAAAAAUAGAAAAAAACCCCCAAUCCAACACCAACCUUUCCUGUCUAAAACCUGACAAAGUAAACAGGAUUAAUUCGCCAUAAGAAAAAACAUUAAUGCCGUCUUAACAAAUGCAGAAAUCAGAAGAGAAAGCGGUUUUAACAGGACCUACAAUAUUAAUAGUUUGAACGUAUGAUCGUAAAAAUGAAAAGCCAUUGAUAUACGCUUAACAGCCGCCGUAUACGCUGAUUGCUCAAGCAUUAAUGAAGAAUGCACCAGAUUAACUAUUUGCUCUUCGAGGGAUGCAGCAAUAUAACUAUCUAUUAGCACCAUUAGAUGCUUUGCUAUUUAUUUGAAAACACUCUUGCGAGUGGUUUGAGGCAGAACAGAUGAAUGUAAAAAUGAACUGCAGCUAAUUUCGCUAAAUAAUACUCGAAACCUGAGCGCCUCGCAUAGAAGGAGAUUCUCAACUGUCCUUCUCAGAGCCUAAUGACAAUAGAAACGCUCUGUUUUAAAAGUAAGACCGUAUUGGUUUUCCAAAUAAACAAAUCCAUCCCUCCUGCCAUUUUACUGCAGAUGUAAAUUUAUUUUAAUGAGAGGGAGUGGAAGGAUUUAUUUUGCUAAAAUAGAGGUGGAGAUGAAGCCGGUGUAAAUCUUUAGGUUUUAAAAAAGAGGAGGAAGGAGGGGGAAGCUGCUUUCCUGGCAGAAAGCUGCCUAACAGUCCUCUAAUUCUUUCUAGAUUAAAUCGCAAUAUGAAUACAGCAUCGAACAAAUACCGAGUUUCGCUCUGAACUCAGUGGAAAGCAGUUACGUCUAACAGAAUUCAAUGAAUUCCUCUUCUCCCUCAAUGUAGUAUGUGUGUGUUUUUCUCUUCCACCACACUGAAGUUCCAUGAAUAGGGAAAGUGGCUCCUAUUGUGUGCCUCUGAACUUCCAAGUCAAUGCAAUUUUUAACCACUGGCUUGUGGUACUUUGAAAAUCACCAGGGGCUGUCAGAGUUGGGUCCUCUGAAAAAUUUACAGUGCUAAAUCAGAGCAUAUGCUGUGAGAGAGGAAAAAAAAUUGCUUAAGAUUGGAGCAAGUACAGUAUCCGGCUGCCCCCUAGUGUAAGUCUCUUAUCUGCCUAAAAUUCAACUUUAAAAGAAAAGGAUCUCUUAAAGGGAAACGACUUUUGGCUCACGUAUGCAUACGAGAAUGAAACUUCUGUACAUUUUAAUCUGAUUAAUUCCUAAGGAUUUAAAAUUAAUUGGCUUGGGCACUCCUAGACCGGACUAUAAGAUUUCUGCAUCAGGGUUUCUGCCAGCUCUACACCGAAUAGGUAUUUUUAAGGGAUAGUGGAAAGGAAUGGGGGGGGGAAUCCUGUUUUGUGAUUUUUUUUUUCAAACGAGGAACCGUGCCUCGCAUGCUGUUGUCAGAGCAAAACACUUUUGCUGCUUAAAGUCAGAUCUACGUCUUUCGCAAUAAUACUUAAAAAAAAAAAAAAAAGGAUAAAUAAUUGCCUUAAAGCCUCAGCCGAACUGCCAACCACACCUUCAGAUGUCAGAAGGCAGAAAUAUGUGAACUGUUGAGAGAGGUGGGUACUUUUUGGGCCUGCCUCGAAGAUGACACAAAUAGGGAUUGAAGUACCAGAAAAAAAACCCCUUCAAACAAAACAAAACCCUGAACAGGAAUAGAGACAGGCGGAUAGAUAUAUAACUGCAUCUGAACAAUGUUACGUACGAGAUUAAAGGAUGAAGAAAGUUCAGAGCAGGAGGAGUCACCCAAACCAACCGGUGUGCAUCUGCACUUCUUUGAAAGGCAAACAUAAAUGGAGCAAGGAGGAAAAAAAAGAAUCCAAACAGCAUUUUUGAACUUCAGGCUUCUCUGGACCUUGUCUGGGUUUAAUCACAGGCUGUGGGACAAAAUGUGCAUUAUUAAGAAAUAUAAAUAUUUUCAGAAGCAAUCAAAGGGUUGAAAGAUUGAUUCGGCAUGUAGAUUGGAUUUAAUUCGAAGCAGCUUUGUUCUAAUGAGGACUACUGGGAUACAAAGACGGCAGCCGCUUACGGCCACCAGUUAGGAACUUUGACUCUGCAGCAACCUGUCACGAAUUUCAAGAAACUUCCAGGAAUAUGGAAGAUGCUCACUUCUAAGACAACGGCAAGGAUUGGGCCAAAAUCCAGAUCCAGCCUACAUUUCUUCAUCUGAGUAGUCCUGUCUCGACCUAUGACUGCUGACAAGAUCACAACAAUGUGGACCCUUCUCUCCUUACUCCCCAGCAUCAGAUCACCAAGAGGACCUGAGAUAAUACUGGAUGAACCAUCACAAGACUGUGCUCAGAAAGUGUGGGGACAAGUACACAGAGAGAUGGUUGGUGCAGCUGGUUCCCUGGUUGUUGCUUUGCAGUGGUUCAUCUUCGAGUUGUGGCACAAGGUAUCAGAGGCUGGAGGAACACUGCAUGGACUGUUCUUGUCCUGGAUCCUCCUCAUCAGUGCUUUGAACUGUAUGAAGCCCUGAGAACCAAGCCAAUGUGAGUGCAUGACCAGGUUUCUCUCAUGGUCUAUACCUGAAGAGCAAAAAGUUCCAUCCUUUGCUUCUGCAGGUUCCUGAUGCUGAAGGUCUGACCUUAAAAUGAGCAGUGCAUAGGGCAAGUGAGCUUCUGGCCUUCAACCCUUCCGAAUGCAGCUAUUUUGGUAACUAGAACAGUAUAUUCACAACGGGUGAGGGAACAGAGCCUUCCAGUGAAGGAUUUCUCAGCAUAUUAACACUAUCAGUGCUGGAUGCUGUGUCUCUUCACAGGUUGCCUGUGUCUGUUUAUGGCCCUAAAUGAAGAUUUGCAGAAGUCUGCAGCUUUCUGUAACUUCAUGACCAUGUUUCAGUGCCUGCUGCACCCACAAACUGAACCAUUCUUCCCAGGAAUUUCCAUGUAGAUCUGAGGAGAACUGCAAUCCCGUGCAGCUGUGAGAAGUUCAGACUUGGAUUUCUUGUCCUGGUUUGCUACAAUGCAACUGUCCUCAUUAAUGUACUUCAAGCCCUGAUGUAUUGGGACCACCAUGGUUGGCAAGUUCUUGUUAACCAGUUCCUGUUGACAACCAGGGAACAGGCACAAGUCAGCUCAGAAAAUGAACGACUAGAAGGCUUUGGAAGAAGCAAUUUUCAUGCAGAUAUGUGGCUGGAAUAUGAACGGUACUCCAAGGUACACCUCAACUCGGGCUUCAGAUCACACCAUUAAGCAAUGAGGUGACAAACCGGUUUCCUUUCUCAAGCCAAUUGUCACGUAACUGCCAAGGGGCCCCUGAUUUUUUCCAUAAGAGAUGUACCUGUACAAUCCAUUCCUACCCUGUAUGCUUAGCAGGAGGAGAUAAAACUGCUCAUUUCCAUUUGGGACAUUUCUAAGCCAGGAAGAAAAGCACAAGGCGUCAGAGCAGCCACCUGUUAGGCAUUGACAAAGGAACCUCCCCACACCAUUAAGUGGAGAUGAUUUCCCAGGGUUAAUGUAAACCACUAUAAAGGGUGAUGGUAACUUUCUAACCACCAACAAGUUUUGUUACUCCUAGAUGAGGCAGCAAACAUAUUCAACCCCAUAUACUCUGCAGUUAACAGAUAUGCUUUAACGAAGAAAGCCCUGAUCAGUGGAGUAUUGUAGGAUAAUACAUGCUACAGCAUUAGUAGAAGUCCAAAUGGCCCAAGGAGCAUCUGUUACCAACACAAAAAUAGUGGGUAAAAGCUAUCGUAAUUCCUGAACCCAGGAACCUGUCUGGAGGCACAGACUUCCCAAGCCAGAGGGGACUUAGAGAACUUGGGAUGUUCAGCAAGAUCUCAUCUCCCCAUGGGUUUACCACAUCAGCUCAGUCCAGGCCAAAUGGGCAGGACAAAGUCCUCAGCUACACUCCAAGUUAAUUUCUCUAUUGAUCCUGAAGAGGUAUGUAUAGUAGGAGAGAAUCUUGAACCAGAACUUGCCUACCAGCUGAAGCUGUAUGAACUAAAUUGUGGAUUCCCCAACUACAGAGAGAACCAAUGGACAAUUUUAGCCUAGUCAUCACUUCUGUCAGAGGAAAGAAACUCUCUGAGGUAAGUUCCCUUGGAUAUAAUUCUUUCUUUCCAGGUUAAAGAAGGGCUGGAGCUAAUACAUAUCCUGAGUGAUAAUGUAGAUUUGCACCUUUCCUGUUAAAUAUAGCUGGUUCAUAUCCAAAGCAUCACUUUUAUUCCUAAUGCUCACUUAUAUCAUUACAACUUCUACAUUAGUUGCAGGUGUGAAAUACCAACUGAUUCACAGUUCUCUUGCUGUCAGCAGGAGAGUAAUAUAUGUCAAAGAUAUGACUCUCAGAGAGGAGGUCACCAGGAUCUCCAUUUGCACAUCUGCUUUGCUAAACACAAAAAUCUGGAGAUUUGCAAAGCUCCAGUAGGCACAAAAUGGGAUGAGUUCAUGGGGGGUGAUACAUAAAAAAACUGUGCUUCUCACUUAGUAGGCCUGUGACAGAAUUUGCUCACUAUACAAAACGUUUGCUGUUUUACAACAGGCAGCAUUUCUCUAGUAUUCAUAUGUAGGUACUUGAGUGUUUUGUAUUGAUAAAGAAAAAAGCUACACUUCUCUACAUUACAUUGUACAAGAAAAGUCAGGAUAUCAACAGGUUAAAAAAGGGCCUAAUUGAUUAAAAAACUUCUGAAAGUUGUCACUAUUCAAUGUAUCUCUGCUCUGACUGUGCAGAUAUUGAAGUCAGGAGAAUGCCUGAUCGAAGCUCCUGCAGGCAUGAUGCUCCUGGAACCUGCCUCACACAGAGACACCUAGAUUGGUUUUUGAGGGCUUCAAGAGAGACAUCCAAAUAUUUCUACUUCCUCCUGUUAGUGGAUUUUUUUUCAUACCUCAGAAAAAUUCUUGCGAUUGUAAUAUGUUUUGCACUUGAUGCCUGAUGCCUAGACAAUGGCUCUUGCUCAUGGACCUCUAAUACAUGAUAUUUUCUGCCUUCUCCAUUUUACAUGAAAUCAAAGACUAAUUGUACAUAUCUGUGUCUAAUUGUUUUUUGACAUUUGAGUAUAGUUUGCUCUGCAUUUUUAAAGAAAGUUUAAAGAAACUUUUUUAAAAUAAACUUUUUCUGAGUGCAUGCCUGUCAGUUUUAUUUUCAUUUUUGCCACGUAUAAUUGUGAGAAACUUACAGACAAAUAAUAAGAUUUUUAGUUUCUGUUGAGAAUUGCCUUUUCCAAGACAAUUCUGUAUGCUAUUACUUCAGCCCACUGGGUAUCAUGUAGGUAAGGUGUAAGAUUCUGCAUAUGAAUAUUUCUGUCUGCUACUUAUGUGUGCUGAGAUAGUAUCAGCUUCUAUUUUGUCUUGUUGUUGGUCCUUAUUCCAUAGAAGAUAUUCCUAAUUACCAACAAGACAAUUUGGUAACAUAAAGUGUUACAGAAUCAUUUAUGUGGUGAUUCAUACCUGGUAAGGAUCUGAUCAUUGAAUUUUAAACCACAUUUGAAAGUCAUAAGAUAAAGAAUAUUUUUUCUACAGGAUGUUGUUUCUAUUUUUAAUAGAAAUACUCUCCUUUGUUUAAUUUAUUGGCACAGUUCUUCUAAAUGAUACAGAGCUUUGCAACAUGAAGAAGACGUAAUUUUUGCACACUUGCACUGCCCUGAAAAAUUCAGAGCACACUUCUAUACUGGCUUAAAUCAACCGAAGUCUAAACACCUAAAUGUGAUUUUCAACAACUGCACAUGAGGGACAUAUCUUUACAGGUAAUCUAAAGAAUACAAAACUAAAAACAUCUCAAUUGUGGAGCAAAUUCAUUGUAUACCUUCCUUCACUUAGUGAAUAUGUUUAUAUAUUUUUAACCCUUGUAUGUUUAUUCCUAAGUCUGUUGGAAAUGGUGGAAAUUAUAUUCUGUUGACUCCAACAGUCUCUACUUCCUACUGGAUUAAGGAAGACAUUUGUACAUCAGUUUUGCUGGUGAUGUCCCAAUAACGAAGUGGAGUAUCUUAUUAUAAAUGCAUAAGUGGGUAAGCACCCAAUAGAAAAGAUGUCAGAUAGAGAUCCAGAAAUUAUAGUCUACUUGUAACAGAAAUAAAACAAGGAACACUUACUAAUGAGUCAUUAAUUUCUUUAUAAUUGCUUCCACAUUUGGGGCAAAUUUUUCCUAAAUCAUCUACAGAAACCCUGCAAUUCAUGGGACUUUUGAUAGUGGUUAUGACAUGAACAACACAUCUCAUAUAUGAUAAAAAAAUACUUAUGUUAACAAGCAUUUUUUGCUCUGCAAACUACUUUUCUGAGGCUUUAUUUCAGUCUUCGGUCACAUCCUUAUCCUUAUUCUCAUCCUUAUUUUCUAUUCUAAUAUAAAAGCAGGAGUUCUUAGUGAUUUAGAAGAGAAAUAAAACUGAAGAAAAUUUAGGCAGAACUGUAAAGUAUAAUCUAUUUAAAUUUCCAACUUGGAAUCUGUUUUGUGCUGUGCUUCUCUCAUGAACUCAGUUUUCCACAGUGCAUUCAGUGUUGUAAUAAUGCAAAUCAAAUACAAUUUUAAUAACUCCUUCCAUUAAAAUGAUCUAUUAAUGUUUUAAGACUCCAACACUUAUGAGCAUGAUUCUAAUUGCAUGAUUUUGCUUCAGGCAGGUUUUAUAGAUCUGCCUGAUCUUUGGAUAUUUGCACCAUAAGGAUUAUUUUAAAUAAAUUAAUUUUUGAAAGAGUUUCAGUCUCAGUAACAACAGUUGAGUUUGAUAGUGAUUGUCUUUUGGGUAACCAUAUGUAUCUGCUUCCACAAAAGGACAAACUAAGUAAAUUUAAAACAAUUUGAAAGGAGAUGGCUGAGGUUUAUACAAUGGAAUAUCUUAUGAAGAAUGUUCUGAAGAGGGGAAUAUCCAUUCCGUAUGUUAGCACAAGGAGCAAAAGAGGUUUAGAGUGAACAGCAUUUUAUAUUUGUUAUGUAGCACAAUUAAAUUGGGGGACUUUCUGCCACAGAAUACCAAAAGUAUAAUCGGAUUCUAAACGGGAUGGAAAUUAAUGGAAAAGAAUUCUUUUGAUAUCAUUGGACGCUAUUUUAUCCAACUUUUACUGUUGGUCUCUGUAAUGCACUGAGUGAUAGCAACAAGGAAAACACAUCAGGAGAAGAAUUACUCUAUGUUUGACUUCUGACAUUUUUCUGUAUGUCUGCUAGGGGUUUCUGCCACAGACAAGGUGAGGAGCUAGCUGGACCUUUGGUCUAACCCAACACAGCUACAUCUAGGCAAGACAAAUGGUUGUUUGAAAGUUUGUUCCUCUCUCCAGAAACCUGUGAAAACCCUCAGGUUUUCUUGUCAUUCUGCAGAGCAGGAUGAGGAGAGAAAAGAGGAUGGGCCUUGGGAAGAAGGUAAGCAGGGCAGCAAGAGUUGCAAAGAAAGCAUUUGCUGAGUGCUUUGUGAGGGCCCUUACCUUGACACGGUCCCCAGGCUUUAUCUCUAGUGGUAGUCUCUUGGUCACCGGCAUGCUGGCUCUCCUCCUCGUAUGUGCUGUUCUUCUCCCUGAGCAUCACUUGAGACCUACAGGAGAAGGUUCCCUUCUUCAAGAUGAACUGAAACAUCAACACGAUCUUACAUUCUUGAUUGAACAUUUCUUCCAUAUAGAAUUUACACCAACUUUGUUCAUCACAAAUGCCUACAUAAGCCUUGAAAAAAAAAACAACCCUUAAAGCUAGAAGCGGUAAUAUUCUUUGAGGGUUAAAGAAUUACUAUUUACCAAAUGUUGUUAAUUGUGUACUGAGAAGUGAUUCCUUGUCUGCAAAAAAUAACAUGUGCUUUACUGAAUGUGGUUUUACCCACUCCAAAAAUGCUAGUUCUUCUGCCUGUUAUCUGAACAUUUCUUUCCUCUGGUGUAUCGAAUGUGCAUUUUUCUUGCAGGAUUUAGUCCUAACAGAAAGACUUGCUGAAGUGUUUACAUACUGGCAAAGAAAUAGUGUACAAGUUGUGCAAAACCUAUGACAAAUUUUUACUUCAACAUGAAGACUUUAGAUCAGUCCUAUUGGAGUGUAAUGAAAAGGACAACAGGCCAAAAGUACACAGGCCUUGAGAAAUAUAAACUUUUACAUGGAUAGAUACUCAGAAGUAUGGAUAAUUUCAGCAGUACUUGAAAUUUUCAGUGUUGGAUCAACUCAGAGCAUGAAGUUCUCAAUUGUUCCUCCUCAGAAGCCAUCCCAAGCAAGAACACCCUGAGAUACCAAACUGAUGUUAAAAGUGGAUUAUGUCUGGGGUUUUCUAUGAAAGCUUUGUAAAGGAAAAUGCCAAACAGGCAAAAAGGUUAGGAGGGAACAAUGUGGUUUUCAUGAGGCUUCCCAACUGAAUAAAAGAUGUUAAAGACAUUUCAAAAUUAUUGCAAGCAUCCCAAUAGAUAUUUUUCUAAAUGAACAUUUAUUUGCUUUGAAAUACAUUUUGGUUUUAAUUUUUAAUUUAUAAAGUAAAGCAAAAAAUGAAAUAUUUUAUAUUACUGAAGGAAAUGACACAGCCUUUUUUUUUUUUAGCAGCUUAUUGGUUAGCCAGAGAAUUAGUUGGAAAAAUGAAAUAUUGAAAACUCCCAAAGGGCAGAAAAAAGCACUUCCCUGCCAGAUAUAAAAUGAGAGAAAAAUAUAAUGACAUUUUCAUUUAACACAAAAAUUUAGUAAAAUAUCCAGAUUUUCAUAGAAGAUGCAAAGACUUGAACUCGGACACACUUUGGGUUUCUUUCCAAGUGUGAUGCUUACAUAUGGUAACUGCUAAUGUUUUUACUAGAUCUGGUCAUGUACACUCCUAGAUAAAUAACUGGAGGUACUCCAGCCUCUGCAGGGAUUGUAGUCCCUGUUUCACAUGCUGUCAAAAGAAGUAUGAGCAGGAAUUCCACAGUUUUAGUCCAAACUUAUGUGUUUAAACAUAAAAUUAUUAUUAAACCUCAAAUAAUUUAAAAGUGGCCUGUCCAAGGAGAAAGAGCCCUGGAUGCCAGGAAGGGUUAAGGUUUGCAGUAGAUGGCCUGUAUAGUUACACUGUGCCAUGCCAAUAGUGGAAGGCAAGAACAUCCUUAGAUGCCUUCUCAAUUUGUCAGGAAUUUCUCUUCUGAACUAUUACCUCCAGCUUUAUGCAGAACACCGUCAGUCCUUUUAUCUGUGAGGUAUCUCAAAGUUUACUGUCUGCCUAUCGCCUCAGCUGAACCACACUAAUAGUUAGCUAAUUACAUGUGAACACUCUAAUUUGCCCUAUGUCUUUCUCAAAAGAAAAUGUGCAUGUGUAGGCAUGCACGUGAGUAAACUUUUGCUCAUGUUAUAAAAUUGCAGCACCAUAUAGAAUCUUUGCACCAGCCAAAGCAUGAUAAAAUCUGUUGCCCGCUUGCUGCCCUCUCUGUUGCUUUCCCCUACCAGGCCACCACCAGUGCUUGUCAUUCCUGAUUUGCAACAUCACCUGUUGCUCCAACACCAGGCUUCUCUAGACCAGAAACUGGAGCAAAGAAGAGAAAUACGUGUUUGUCAUUGAACUGAACUGGGAAGAAGGAAGAGGAGAACGAUAAGAUCAUAGCCUGCAGCGCUUUGUUUAUGAGAACAUCCUUCCAGUGAUAUAUGUCUGCACCAGGUGAAAGUAUUGUGUCACCCCUAACAUAUUUUAAAUGCCAGGGCUGUCAUGCAAGAAGACAAUGAUGAACAAGUUUAAACAGAAUAUGGUAUUGUAGCCAUGUACAGAGUGUUACCCUUUAAAGGUUUUCACUGGUAGUGCUUAGCAAAAUGUUUCUGAAGUCUUUUAUACUACAUUAUAGAACCUUUCUCACACAGAGUUUAAACUAAAUAAAAAUAUUUCUAUUGCAGAUAAACUGA